UUAUGGGUCACAGUCUUGUGCCAUCUAUUGUCCAAUAUUAGAAAACAAUUAUCUCAUGUAUAUUGCCCAGUUUUCUAGGUGUUUAUUAUUGGAGGGUAUAAUGGAUUGAAUUAUACCUGCCACCCCCCCACCACCCCAGUAAAAGAUAUGUUGACAUCCCAACCCUCAGUACCUCACAAUGUGACUCUGUUUGAAAAUAGGGUCAUUGCGAGUGUGACUAGUUAAGAUGAGGUCAUACUGGAGUACUGUGGACUCCUAAUAUGACUGAUGUGCUUGUAAGAUGACAGCUGUGGGAAGACAGAAACACGCAGGGAAAAUGCCAUGUAAUGCCAAAGACAGUUUAAAGUUAUGUAGCUGCAAGCUAAGGAAUGUCAAAAAUUGCCAGCAAAUCACCAGAAACUAGGAAUAGGCAAGGAAGAAUUUCCUUCCAGGUUUCAGAGGGAGCAUAGCUCUGUUGAUACCUUGAUUUUAGAAUUCUAGGCUCCAGAACCAUGAGACAAUAAAUUCUGUUGUUUUAAGUUACCCAGUUUGUGGUACUUUAUUACAGCAGCUCAAGGAAUAUUACACAGUGGACAGAUUGAGAAGUUCCUUCAUCAUAAGUGGAAGCAGAAGUUCCUAACUCUUUUAGUAUUUGCCAUCUGAACUACUUUUCUAUCUUUUACUUCCUCCAAUAGAUAAGUUAUUAGAAGGCAAAUAUUACUUCUUAAUUUUCUGUUUUCCACCUAUCUAAGCUUGAAUUUUAUGUGCAUGUAAGCUAGAUGUGAAAUUCAUGGGCAUCAAAUAGGGGUGGGUAAAAUAUAAUUUUGUUUUCUACAAUUAAAAUUAUUCUAUAUCUAGAUCCCUGUUGCAUUGGGGUAUACAUGAUUAAUUCAGGGAUUUCUCAGACAAUUCAUGCUUUUCUCCCUUUCCUUUUCUCCCCGGGUGGUGUCUAAAUUCCAGGGUGCAUUAAAAGCACUUAUCAAAGCAUUGUGGGGAAGGUACUUAGUCUUUGGUCAUCAUUUAACUUUCCUUCAUGACUCUCAUCUGCAUAGUCAUCAACACUUGUCCCCACUGAUAUCUGCUGACCCUCGGUGUGUCUGUCUGUCCUUGAGGUUGUGUUGAUCCACAGCGGGUACAUUGUGCCUUACACAUUUCAAACACGAUGCCUCU
rnacentral:lncRNA from 1 species